rnacentral:lncRNA from 1 species
AUACUGAAGAGUUAGGGGGCAUGGAGUAAGAAGGUAUUAUCUCUUUGCUCUGUGAUGCCUCUUCAUGGUGAGCAUACUAAUAUUGGAGAAAACUGCAUUGGAAAAAAUGACCUCUUUAAAAUUGCUCACUACUAUUGAUUCUAAUGCCAGUGAAUAAUAUCUGAUAUUAGAAAGGAAACUCAUUUUAUACUUACCAUCCAUAUCACUAGUGAGAAAAUUUUUGAUCUUUUCUAUCAGGGAUUGGGGAUCUUAUAAAAUGAGACUUGAGAUGGGAAUAAUAAAUUUAAGUGUCUAUUCCAUAAAUGGAAUAAUGCCUUCUGGUCCACAUUACACUCUUGAAAUGGUACCGGUAGUAUCACUUCAAAACUGGAUGAUUAAAGUUAUAGUCCAAAUUGUCAUUUAUUUUCUUUGUGAUCCUGUUUAACAACUUCCUGCCUACUCAUAAAUCAUGAAACGGUAUCCUAUGUUUUCUUCAUUACUGUGCUUUUAUAUUUAUAUCUACAUUCUAUCUGAAAUUCACUUUUGUGUAUGGUGUGGGGUAGUGGUCAAGAUUCAUUGUUUUUUCCAUUUGGAUAUUUAAGUAAUCCAGGACCAUUUAUUGAAAAGAUCCUUUCCCCUAUUGCACUGCACACUUAAUAUUGUCAUAAAUCAUGUGAUUGUAUAUGGGUGAGUCUGUUUCUGGACUCUCUAUUUUGUUCGAAUGGUCUGUUUGUCUCUCCUUGCACCAAUGCCACAUGAGCUUAAUUCCAUUAGCUUUAUAGUAAGUCUUGAUAUCUGGCAAUGUCUUCCAGCUCUGUGCUUCUUCAAGAUUGCCAUGGAUAUUCGUGGCCUUUUCAUUUCCAUAUAAAUUUUGCUGUCAAUUUGUAGAUUUUCACAAUGAUUGAGAUUGCAUCAAAUCUAUACAUCAAUUUGGAGAGCAAUAGUAUCUUUACCAUAUUGAGUCUUCUAAUCCACAAAUAUGGCAUAUCUGGAGGAGCAGGGUCAAAGUUUUAAAAGAUCUGAAAUAAAUUCUGCUUCUCCUCAAGCAUUUAGUUGAGUGCCAAGACCUACCUCUCUAAGAAGCAGUCACACAUAUGUGCCUUCCCCAGCUGGCAUUUGUCCUUCCCUGAGGGCCAGUGUUCUCUCCUUCCUCCUUGAAAGGCCAUUUCCUUCUUUUGCUCCAGUCCAAAGACAAGUUCCUUCUGAUUCAUUCAGUGGCAAAAGGAAAGUUCCAGUUCCAAAAGAUAAUAGGACCU